GACGAACGCUGGCGGCGUGCUUAACACAUGCAAGUCGAACGGAAAGGCCCUGCUUGCAGGGUGCUCGAGUGGCGAACGGGUGAGUAACACGUGGGUGAUCUGCCCCUUACUUUGGGAUAAGCCUGGGAAACUGGGUCUAAUACUGGAUAGGACCAUGCUGUAGGUGGUGUGGUGGAAAGAUUAGUUUCGGUAAGGGAUGAGCUCGCGGCCUAUCAGCUUGUUGGUGGGGUAAUGGCCUACCAAGGCGUCGACGGGUAGCCGGCCCGAGAGGGUGGACGGCCACCUUUGGGACGGGUAGCGCGCCCAGCCCCCGCCGGGGGGCGGCAGUGGGGAAUAUGGCACAAGGGGCGCACGCCUGAUGCAGCGACGCCGCGGGGGGGAUGACGCCUUUCGGUUUUUAAACUCCUUGCACCCAUGACGAACCCCUUGGGGGGACGUUGGUGGAAGAAGAAGCCCCGGCUACCUACGUC
rnacentral:rRNA from 1 species